rnacentral:sRNA from 1 species
UUACAGGAUUGGUGGGUAUACCUGGACCUCCAGGUAUUCCUGGGUUUGACGGUGCCCCUGGCCAGAAAGGAGAGAUGGGACCUGCUGGGCCUACUGGUCCAAGAGGAUUUCCAGGUCCACCAGGCCCCGAUGGGUUGCCAGGAUCCAUGGGGCCCCCAGGCACCCCAUCUGUUGAUCACGGCUUCCUUGUGACCAGGCACAGUCAAACAAUAGAUGACCCACAGUGUCCUUCUGGGACCAAAAUUCUUUACCAUGGGUACUCUUUGCUCUACGUGCAAGGCAAUGAACGGGCCCAUGGCCAGGACCUGGGUAAGAAGCCUGCAGAUCCGUGCAUUCAUUCAGUGUAGGUGUGUUGAGUGCCUUCGGUGCGCAGUGCUGGACUCGCCUCUGCUGCUGCAGUGAGGGCAGUAGCCAGUGAAAAAGCGGCCCGGCCUCAUUUCCCUCCAUUGAUUACAAACAAUCGGUUCAACAGCUGCAGUAUUACUAAUGGCAAGCCAAGAAAUGUGGAGACUGAAUCUUCGAAAAUCUUUAAAUUAAUAAAACUUUAGAU